AGCUUGGUUAAAGACCAUAUCUCAUAAUCAAGAUGAAACUGAUGUUAAGCUUUUGGUAUAUUUGGACUGGCAGAAGACUGAAGGUCUUCAUUAUCAAGAGAGUAUUAUGUAUUAUAGUUGUACUCAGGAUAUUCUAUAAGAUGGAUGGAGCUCUCUGAUUGUAGCUUUCUUUGGUCUUCUGUGGACUGACGGUUUUGGAGCCAACUAAAGUCCAAUUUCGGCUGCAGUUCUGCUACAGCUUAUCUGGGUGUUUUCUCUUUUGGUGGCAGUGCACUAAAACCAGGGUGAUUUUCAUUGCAAAAUGCAUAUAUCAGAUGCUAAAAGGUUGAUCUCUUUUCUUGUGACUGACGUGAUGAACUAAUACUUUUUUGUGAAGCAAGCACUUUGGAGGAAGGCUCAUCCUUGUAAGAGGACGUUAUUAAAGGAUUCUAUUUUCUCAAAAUGCAUUUGCUUUGAGCUUUGGUAAAAUGGCAACCAUACCCGUUUUUGGCUUGAUGUAUGGUGCGGGAAUUCUGCACUGAAAGAAGAAUUUCCAACCUAUUCUCGAUCACGACUGAUAAAGAGGCCACUUUACGCGAGCGAUUAAGGAGAUACGGAGGUCAAGUGUCAUAAGAUAUUUCCUUUAGGACGCCCUUUCAAGAUUAGGACUGGAAUUAGAUGGGCAAUUGGGCAAAUUGCUUCAGAGAAGUUGCAGUUGCACAAUUCAGAGAGGACAUAGAGAUCUGGGCAGGCUGAACCUUGAAAUUGUUUGUUGAAAUUGUAUCAUAAUUACUCAUCUAGGAGAGGUGACUUCAGGCCCAUAUGGUAGCCAGUAUGGACGACAGACAGCAGAAAAAGCAAGUUUUAAGCACUCUUGUCAGUUGGUGGUGUUUUGCAAAGGAUGAGGAGGAUUUUGAUCACUUCUUACUACAUUGCAUUUCACUGUAUGAUAGUUUACUCCAUGCUUAAAUUGUCAUGAGAAUGACCUAGGACAGUGUUGGAUGUCAGGGCAAGUUGAGAAUGAGAAGGCUAGAUGCUUGAAAGGAAGAUCUGGUAAGGAGGCUCAUUUUGCGCAUUUUUUCCGGUUGAUUUGGAGAGAGAUAUAAUAGAACUUUUGAGGAAGUUGAAAGCGUACUGUUGAAAGUUAGGUCUUUUUUAUUUUGUUUAUACUUUUCGGUGCAAAAGGAUAUCUCACAUUGUAAAAAGAAAUUGAGUUUUUGGAAUUUUGAUGUAAACCCUAUACAUAUAUAUGUGAGGUAAAACCAAUUUAAUGUGGUAUU